GCUCUAGAACUAGUGGACCCCCGGGCUGCAGCCCAAUGUGGAAUUCGCCCUUUGCCGCCGCGCGCGGCGGGCGGGGCGGGGGCACGGGGGGCCUACGGGAGGCAGCAGUGGGGAAUAUUGCACAAUGGGCGCAAGCCUGAUGCAGCGACGCCGCGUGAGGGAUGGAGGCCUUCGGGUUGUAAACCUCUUUUGUUUGGGAGCAAGCCUUCGGGUGAGUGUACCUUUCGAAUAAGCGCCGGCUAACUACGUGCCAGCAGCCGCGGUAAUAAGGGCGAAUUCCACAGUGGAUAU
rnacentral:rRNA from 1 species